rnacentral:rRNA from 1 species
CCUACGGGUGGCAGCAGUGGGGAAUAUUGGACAAUGGGGGGAACCCUGAUCCAGCGACGCCGCGUGAGUGAAGAAGUAUUUCGGUAUGUAAAGCUCUAUCAGCAGGGAAGAAAAUGACGGUACCUGACUAAGAAGCACCGGCUAACUACGUGCCAGCAGCCGCGGUAAUACGUAGGGGGCAAGCGUUACCCGGAUUGACUGGGUGUAAAGGGAGCGUAGACGGUGUAGCAAGUCUGAUGUGAAAGGUCGGGGCUCAACCCCGGGACUGCAUUGGAAACUGUUGAACUGGAGUACAGGAGAGGUAAGCGGAAUUCCUGGUGUAGCGGUAAAAUGCGUAGAUAUUAAGAGGAACACCAGUGGCGAAGGCGACUUACUGGGCUUUUACUGACGCUGAGGCUCGAAAGCGUGGGGAGCAAACAGGAUUAGAUACCCCUGUAGUC